AGAUUUAUUUCCAGUCUCUGGGUGUUGUCGAACGAAGCGGGAAGAAAGGGCCGAGGGGGCGGUGCAGCUCAAGAGGGCAAGAAGAGCAAUCCAUAUCUCUGUGGGUCUGGAGUCACAUGUAGGCCAGACCAGGUACUGUGUUGAAUCCAGCGGUAGUACAAUUUCCAACAGUUCAAAGUGUCAGAGAGGGUCAGACAGUGAGAAUGACAGUGCACCAUCAAGAACAGCAAACUGCACAAAGUGAUCAGUCAUUGGUAACAACAGUGCCUCAGGAAAAGAAAAGACAAGAUGAUGACUCAUUCCAGAAAUAAUUCACAGGAAACUCCUCCAGCUUUUCUGCUUUAUUUCAACAUUCUAAAGAGCCCUCCUAGAAUAGCUUCAUUCUGACCAUUACAAGCGUACAGCCCAGUGACACUUCUGUCUCUACUUGCAAUGUGUGGGGCUAUACCCAUUCAAUUACUGUCCCUCAUUGUAAUAUAUCAGACCAUAAGAUAUAAGGAGCAGAGUUUGGCCCAUCGAGCUUGCUCUGUAAUCCAAUCA